rnacentral:lncRNA from 1 species
GCCCCAUGUGGGAUUACAAACUUGCUGGAAAUGGAUGAGAAACCUUCUGCUCUGCUGGAGUUUAUCUUGAGUGUGCCUUAAAAUUCCAUUUCAUGGAGAACUGUGCGUGGUUGAAUUUUGAUUGAUUACUCAAUUAACUGAUGUAUUGGUAGAGUGAUUAAGAAAGAAGACUUUGGGAUCAGACCAACCUGGUUUUGAAUUCAAGCUCAGCAACUUACUAGCUGCAGUUAUGGCAUUAACCACCCAGUUGUUACCUACUUCUAGAUGAAAGCUCAAUUUUCCUACAUAAUUAAGAGUUUGGAAUUCGGGCAAUAUCAAGAACCACAUCUGUCCUGAAAUCAAUUAUCUCUGUUUGUGGCCAUGGUCCAUGCCUCCUUUACUACAUCAGAUCCACCUAGUCCCUGGACUAAUCAGAAACACAAGAAAUAAGAAGACCAUUUUGAGAAGAACAGAGAGUAGCCUUAAGAAAAUCCCUGUCGCAAGCACUCUGGGAUUUGGACUCAAAUGCUAAUUAUACAGAACCACUUGGGUGCCCAGCUGCUGUCCAUUCUCUACACUUAUCCCACCUGAUGGAAGGCUGUUAAGAAAAACAUCACUGCAAUGCCUAAUAAACAGACAUGGGUCCCAGACCCAAUAAGAGUGAAACCAUCCCCCUAUUUAAAUGAAAUUAUGGCUGAUGAGAAAGACAAAUUAAUUUCUCUGUCCCUAGUAUUACACAAAACUUUGGAUGCUGCCAUUGUUACAAUUUUAUUUUCCCCAGGAGCUCAGAGUCCCACCUUCAUUCUUUUUGUUUAAUGCUUAAGCUUGCCUGUCCACCUAUGGAAGACUAGAAUGAGCAAAGACCAUGUAUUCAAUGAUCUGUAAAUCUAACAGGAAACAAUAUAAUAAAUAUAUUGUGUUUGCUAACCAAA